CAGCCGCCGCGGUAAUACCAGCACCCCGAGUGGUCGGGACGUUUAUUGGGCCUAAAGCAUCCGUAGCCGGUUCUACAAGUCUUCCGUUAAAUCCACCUGCUUAACAGAUGGGCUGCGGAAGAUACUAUAGAGCUAGGAGGCGGGAGAGGCAAGCGGUACUCGAUGGGUAGGGGUAAAAUCCGUUGAUCCAUUGAAGACCACCAGUGGCGAAGGCGGCUUGCCAGAACGCGCUCGACGGUGAGGGAUGAAAGCUGGGGGAGCAAACCGGAUUAGAUACCCGGGUAGUCCCAGCUGUAAACGAUGCAGACUCGGUGAUGAGUUGGCUACAUGCCAUCUCAGUGCCGCAGGGAAGCCGUUAAGUUUGCCGCCUGGGGAGUACGGUCGCAAGACUGAAACAUCACGAAUUCUGG
rnacentral:rRNA from 1 species